rnacentral:rRNA from 1 species
UAGGGAAUAUUGGACAAUGGGUGAGAGCCUGAUCCAGCCAUGCCGCGUGCAGGAAGAAGGCGUUAUGCGUUGUAAACUGCUUUUUGCCAGGGGAUAAAAAGACCGUGCGCGGUUAAUUGAAGGUACCUGGUGAAUAAGCCACGGCUAACUACGUGCCAGCAGCCGCGGUAAUACGUAGGUGGCAAGCGUUGUCCGGAUUUAUUGGGUUUAAAGGGUGCGUAGGUGGCCCUGUAAGUCAGUGGUGAAAUAUCUCAGCUUAACUGAGAGGGUGCCAUUGAUACUGCAGGGCUUGAGUACAGAUGAGGUAGGCGGAAUUGACGGUGUAGCGGUGAAAUGCAUAGAUAUCGUCAAGAACACCGAUAGCGAAGGCAGCUUACCAAGCUGUAACUGACACUGAGGCACGAAAGUGUGGGGAUCAAACAGGAUUAGAUACCCAGGUAGUCCCUGAGCGGGCUGGCAAGGCGCAU